UGCAUCAGCUUACACAUGCAGUCGAGGGGAACGGCAUUGAGUGCUUGCACUCUUUGGACGUCGACCGGCGCACGGGUGAGUAACGCGUAUCCAACCUUCCCAUUACUGUGGGAUAACCUGCCGAAAGGCAGACUAAUACCGCAUAGUCUUCGAUGACGGCAUCAGAUUUGAAGUAAAGAUUUAUCGGUAAUGGAUGGGGAUGCGUCUGAUUAGCUUGUUGGCGGGGUAACGGCCCACCAAGGCGACGAUCAGUAGGGGUUCUGAGAGGAAGGUCCCCCACAUUGGAACUGAGACACGGUCCAAACUCCUACGGGAGGCAGCAGUGAGGAAUAUUGGUCAAUGGACGGAAGUCUGAACCAGCCAAGUAGCGUGCAGGAUGACGGCCCUAUGGGUUGUAAACUGCUUUUGUAUGGGGAUAAAGUUAGGGACGUGUCCCUAUUUGCAGGUACCAUACGAAUAAGGACCGGCUAAUUCCGUGCCAGCAGCCGCGGUAAUACGGAAGGUCCAGGCGUUAUCCGGAUUUAUUGGGUUUAAAGGGAGCGUAGGCUGGAGAUUAAGUGUGUUGUGAAAUGUAGACGCUCAACGUCUGAAUUGCAGCGCAUACUGGUUUCCUUGAGUACGCACAACGUUGGCGGAAUUCGUCGUGUAGCGGUGAAAUGCUUAGAUAUGACGAAGAACUCCGAUUGCGAAGGCAGCUGACGGGAGCGCAACUGACGCUUAAGCUCGAAGGUGCGGGUAUCAAACAGGAUUAGAUACCCUGGUAGUCCGCACAGUAAACGAUGGAUGCCCGCUGUUGGUACCUGGUAUCAGCGGCUAAGCGAAAGCAUUAAGCAUCCCACCUGGGGAGUACGCCGGCAACGGUGAAACUCAAAGGAAUUGACGGA
rnacentral:rRNA from 1 species